AAUAGGAAAAUGACAAAUAAUAUUUUUUCUCCUGAUCUUUAACUUUUUCUUCCUGACAAAAUUUAAAUCCAACUAAAGAUGCUAAAAAUUACGAGAGAAAAUCUAAUUUGUCAUUCUCCUAUU
rnacentral:pre_miRNA from 1 species